rnacentral:rRNA from 1 species
UUUGGCCUCGGAUCAGGCGGGGAUACCCGCUGAACUUAAGC